GAUGAACGCUGGCGGCGUGCCUAAUACAUGCAAGUCGAGCGAACAGAUGAGGAGCUUGCUCCUCUGACGUUAGCGGCGGACGGGUGAGUAACACGUGGAUAACCUACCUAUAAGACUGGGAUAACUUCGGGAAACCGGAGCUAAUACCGGAUAAUAUAUUGAACCGCAUGGUUCAAUAGUGAAAGACGGUUUUGCUGUCACUUAUAGAUGGAUCCGCGCCGCAUUAGCUAGUUGGUAAGGUAACGGCUUACCAAGGCAACGAUGCGUAGCCGACCUGAGAGGGGGGCGCCCCCACUGGGAAGUGACCAGCGGCCCAGGCACCUAGGGGGGGCCCAGGCGGGGAAUUGGCGCAACAGGGCGAAAGCUUGCAGGAGCAACGGCGGGGGGGUGCAAAAGGUUCUCGGGCCGUAAAACUGUGUUUUUGGGGAAAAACAAAUGUGUAAGUAACUAAGCACUUUUUGCGGGAACCGAUUAAGAAACCCCCGGCUAACUCCUG
rnacentral:rRNA from 1 species